rnacentral:rRNA from 1 species
AGAGUUUGAUCAUGGCUCAGAUUGAACGCUGGCGGCACGCCUAACACAUGCAAGUCGAGCGGUAACAUGAGUUGUAGCAAUACAACUUGAUGACGAGCGGCGGACGGGUGAGGAAUACGUAGGAACUUGCCCUUCAGAGGGGGACAACCAAGGGAAACUUUGGCUAAUACCGCAUAAUCUCGAGAGAGUAAAGCUGCCGCAAGGUGGCGCUGAAGGAGAGGCCUGCGUCCGAUUAGCUAGUUGGUGAGGUAAGAGCUCACCAAGGCGAUGAUCGGUAACUGGUCUGAGAGGGACGACCAGUCACACUGGGACUGAGACACGGCCCAGACUCCUACGGGAGGCAGCAGUGGGGAAUAUUGGACAAUGGGGGCAACCCUGAUCCAGCGAUGCCGCGUGAGUGAAGAAGGCCUUCGGGUCGUAAAGCUCUUUAGGUUGGGAAGAAGGUUAUGUGGGGAUAAUCCACGUAACUUGACGGUACCGACAGAAUAAGCACCGGCAAACUCUGUGCCAGCAGCCGCGGUAAUACAGAGGGUGCGAGCGUUAAUCGGAAUUACUGGGCGUAAAGGGCGCGUAGGCGGUAAGAUGUGUGUGAUGUGAAAGCCCCGGGCUUAACCUGGGAAGCGCAUCGCAAACUAUCUAACUGGAGUAUAUGAGAGGGUGGCGGAAUUUCCGGUGUAGCGGUGAAAUGCGUAGAGAUCGGAAGGAACGUCAAUGGCGAAGGCAGCCACCUGGCAUAAUACUGACGCUGAGGCGCGAAAGCGUGGGGAGCGAACAGGAUUAGAUACCCUAGUAGUCC